GGCCCGGUAGCUCAGCUGGAUAGAGCGCCAGCCUCCGAAGCUGGAAGUCGCGCGUUCGAAUCGCGCCCGGGUCACCA
rnacentral:tRNA from 2 species